rnacentral:rRNA from 1 species
GAUGAACGCUGGCGGCGUGCCUAAUACAUGCAAGUCGAGCGAACGGACGAGAAGCUUGCUUCUCUGAUGUUAGCGGCGGACGGGUGAGUAGCACGUGGAUAACCUACCUAUAAGACUGGGAUAACUUCGGGAAACCGGAGCUAAUACCGGAUAAUAUUUUGAACCGCAUGGUUCAAUAGUGAAAGACGGUUUUGCUGUCACUUAUAGAUGGAUCCGCGCUGCAUUAGCUAGUUGGUAAGGUAACGGCUUACCAAGGCAACGAUGCAUAGCCGACCUGAGAGGGUGAUCGGCCACACUGGAACUGAGACACGGUCCAGACUCCUACGGGAGGCAGCAGUAGGGAAUCUUCCGCAAUGGGCGAAAGCCUGACGGAGCAACGCCGCGUGAGUGAUGAAGGUCUUCGGAUCGUAAAACUCUGUUAUUAGGGAAGAACAUAUGUGUAAGUAACUAUGCACGUCUUGACGGUACCUAAUCAGAAAGCCACGGCUAACUACGUG